UACGUAGGGUGCGAGCGUUAAUCGGAAUUACUGGGCGUAAAGCGUGCGCAGGCGGUUUUGUAAGCCAGAUGUGAAAUCCCCGGGCUCAACCUGGGAAUGGCAUUUGGGACUGCAAGGCUGGAGUUUGGCAGAGGAGACUAGAAUUCCUGGUGUAGCAGUGAAAUGCGUAGAUAUCAGGAGGAAUACCGAUGGCGAAGGCAGGUCUCUGGGCUAUGACUGACGCUCAUGCACGAAAGCGUGGGGAGCAAACAGG
rnacentral:rRNA from 1 species